AUUGAACGCUGGCGGCGUGCCUAACACAUGCAAGUCGAGCGGUAACAGGUGUAGCAAUACAUGCUGACGAGCGGCGAACGGGUGAGUAAUGCUUUGGAAUCUUCCCAGUAGUGGGGAACAACCAGUCGAAAGAUUGGCUAAUACCGCAUACGUCGGAAACGGGAAAGCGGGGGAUCGUAAGACCUCGCGCUAUUGGAUGAGCCAAAGUCGGAUUAGCUAGUUGGUGAGGUAACGGCUCACCAAGGCGACAAUCCGUAGCUGGUCUGAGAGGACGACC
rnacentral:rRNA from 1 species